rnacentral:lncRNA from 1 species
GGGCGCGGGCCGGCCGCCGCGCGGUGCGCUCGCCGUGCUCUGUGCGGCUCGCCGGGCCGCCCGCCAGAGGGUGCCCCCCACCCCCAUGAAGUCGGAUCCUUGAGCUGCGGCGGCGGCAGCCAACUGCUCCAUAUUUGGCUUCUAUUACACAUUUACAUACUGGAGCGAGCGAGCGAGCGAGCGCGAGAGAGCGCGAGGGAGGGAGGGCGGGCGGGCGGAGGGAGGAGGGAGGGGAGGGGAGCGGGAGGAGGGGGAGGAGGAGGAGGAGGAGGAGGAGAGAGCAGAGUAUACCGCAGACAUCAUUUCUACUACAGUGGCGGAGCCGUACAGGACCUGUUUCACUGCAGGGGGAUCCAAAACAAGCCCCGUGGAGCAGCAGCCAGAGCAACAGCAGCCGCAAGACAUUGUUUCUCUCCCUCUGCCCCCCCUUCCCCACGCAACCCCAGAUCCAUUUACACUUUACAGAGCAUCGUGCAUCAAGUCACCAGGGUGGUCCAUUCAAGCUGCAGAUUUAUUUGUCAUCCUUGUACAACAGUCUCCUUCUCCACUGCCACUACAGGGAAGUGCAUCACAUGUCAGCAUACUGGAGCAUAG